GCUGACUGGGGGACAGAGGGGGCGGUAAGAGAGAGGUGGCGAAGGGUGGUGGGAAGUACUGGGCGGAAAGCGGGGGUAGGCGGUUAGGAAAGACGGGGGUGAAAGCACUGGGCUCAACCCAGGAAGUGCACUCGAAACUCCCGAGCUAGGGUCCGGGAGAGGAAGGCGGAAGUCUCGGUGUAGAGGUGAAAUGCGUAGAUAUCGAGAGGAACAUCGGUGGCGAAGGCGGCCUUCUGGACAGCGACUGACGCGGAGACGCGAAAGCGUGGGGAGCAAACAGGAUUAGAUACCCCGGUAGUC
rnacentral:rRNA from 1 species